CCUACGGGAGGCAGCAGUGAGGAAUAUUGGUCAAUGGACGAGAGUCUGAACCAGCCAAGUAGCGUGAAGGAUGACUGCCCUAUGGGUUGUAAACUUCUUUUAUAAAGGAAUAAAACGAGGCACGUGUGCCUUUUUGCAUGUACUUUAUGAAUAAGGAUCGGCUAACUCCGUGCCAGCAGCCGCGGUAAUACGGAGGAUCCGAGCGUUAUCCGGAUUUAUUGGGUUUAAAGGGUGCGUAGAUGGGUUGUUAAGUCAGUUGUGAAAGUUUGCGGCUCAACCGUAAAAUUGCAAUUGAUACUGGCAGUCUUGAGUACAGUUGAGGUAGGCGGAAUUCGUGGUGUAGCGGUGAAAGGCUUAGAUAUCACGAAGAACCCCGAUUGCGAAGGCAGCUUACUAAACUGUGACUGACAUUGAUGCUCGAAAGUGUGGGUAUCAAACAGGAUUAGAUACCCCAGUAGUC
rnacentral:rRNA from 1 species